ACUUGAAGCUGAUGAAGCAAAUGGUUAUAUAGAGAAAUAAUAAAACCACACUGAAGUAAGGAGUUAACGACUGGCUACCUGAACAACAAAGCAUCCAGUAUCCCUCUGUCUGUGUCUUCUCUUGGUGUUCCUUUUGUGCUGCUGCUUCCUUCCUAUGUUGUAAGCUCCUCAAACAGGCUUAUGCCUUCUUGGAUAUCUGUGUGGCCCCUUGUGGCUUUUGAAUGCUCCCUCAAUAGAAGAAAUUUCUCUUUCAUGAUGAAAGGCUUCACCACAGCUUCCAACAGCACCAGGAGCUGGGACUGUCCUGUUGCUAGGAGAAAGGCUCCUGAGGCAAAAGCACUCUAUGCUUCACCCCAGGCUGCCAGGACCAACUCAUGGGGAAAGACCACUUGCAAAGGAAACAAAAUACAGAGGAGGAAGGCUAACUGGGGUAAAGUCUAUUAAUCUGCAAAGUGUUUAUCUUCAUUGCUCUUCCUCUGACCAGUGCCUGGCUGGUGCUUUGCUGUCUCUCUUGCUCCACAUGCAGUGCAGGAUGCUCCUGAUCACCCACCCCAAUCAGGACACUGGUUUUUCUCUACUGCACUUGAAACUGCCUCUUGUCUCUUUGCAACAGGUGAAUGCAGCUCCUCUCAGCUCCUUUCAAAGCAGCAAAUGGCACAGCGUGCCUUUGACCCUUGACGUAUAUUAAAGAAAAGCCAAGAAAAGGUUGAUAGAGGGUGAAAGCUUGAUGAGACUGCAGUUUUGUCCUGUAGUAACCUUGCAACCAAAAGGAAGAAAUGUCAAUGGGAUGGGUGGAUUGCAAGGUAAGUGAAAGACCACUGGGACUGUUUGGCUUGAAGUCAGAGAAAGCAAGAAUUUGAGGUCUCACUAGUACCAGUGAAGACCAUGAAGGUGGCAAGGGGUCUUGAGCAUCUGAUAUAUAAAGAGAGGCUGAAGGAGCUAGGCUUGGUUGGCCUGGAGAAGAGAAGGCAAAGAAUGGUGCUAGAUACCGUUUUCCACUUCAUAACCAGGGUAAUGGAGAAGCCAAACCCCCAGCUCCUCCUUGAAGUACACAGAGGUGAAAGGAUAUGAAGCCAUUGUCACAAGCUGCAACAAGGUCAAUUGGGAUUUCAUAUUGGGCAUAUUCUUCAUCAUGGAAGGUCUAAAGCACCAAGGCAGCCCCUGGUGAGGCUGGGGAGGUGUGAAGAGCUUAGCUGGGGACAGAACCCAGCAACCAGCUCUUACUGCAGGAUUAGCCUGGGUUUGUGGCAAAGGUGACUUCUGUAAGUCCCUUCUAAGCUUGACUUUUCUAUGAUUUCUAUGACUCUGUUUACUUACAGAAUGAGUGAGCAAUUAAUUUAAAUUUUUACUCAAAGUCAGAUUUCAUGCUGUUUUGUACCAGUUUCAUGUGAUAAAAAAUGCAGAAGCAGAAAAGCUGGGUAGAGGUUAGCAGAGUGAAACCUUGGGAGAGGACAAGAAGAAAUACUAAGCUAUCAUAGAAUCAUAGAAUGUCUUGACUUGGAAGGGACCCACAAGGAUUAUUGAGUCCAGCUCCUGUCCCUGCAUAUGACAUAUGACACCCUCAAAAUUCACACCAUGUAUCUGACAGCAUUGUCUAGUCUCUUCUUGAACACUGUCAGGCUUGGGGCUGUGACACCUCCUGUUCCAGUGCUCCAGCACCCUCUGGGUGAAGAACCUUUUCCUGUCCAACCUAAACCUCCCCUGGCACAUCUUCCUGCCAUUCCCUCAGGAUCUGUUGCUGGUUGCCAGAGAGAAGAGUUCAGCGCCUGUCCCUGCUCCUCCCGUUGUGAGGAAGCUGUAGACUGCAAUGAGGUCUCCUCUUAGUCUCCUCUUCUCCAAGCUGAACAAACCAAGUGACUUUAGCCACUCCUCAUACAGCUUCCCCUCUAAACCUUUCAACAUUUCAUCUUCAUUUCAACUUUAAAUCACUGCUUUAAAAAUAUGUGUUGUCAGAUGUACUGGCUUGAUAUUUAAGCUUGUAAUAAUGAAAAAGUCUACCAUGAAGGGAGUGAGGAUUUUCCCUGUCCUGGAGACUUUACAGGUUGGCCUUAGGCAGGGAGAGAGCAGUGGGAUAGAGAAAAGUGGAAGGAAGGAGACGGUAAGACAGCAGUAAGCACAGAAAGGAGUUUCAGAAACCUAUAACUGUCAGGUUCUGUGAGUGUUAGGAGGAAGACAAGCCACAGGCGAGACUUGGGAGGGGCAGGAGUUGUGGUGGCUCCUUCAGAUGUGAAGCAGCAGUGCAAAGCACAGUGGUGCUUGACUGCAGGUUAUACACUUGGUCACGAGAAACCAGCAUCCUGGGCAAAGCAUAUCUGAUUUUGCCCAUCUGUGAUAAUUUGUUUAUGGUUUUCCCCCCAUAGUGACUACAUAUAGCUCCCCCCCUACCCCGGCUCUGACCUCUUGGCCAGCCUCUUGAUUCCAAAAUGUGAAAAUUCAUGCAUUUUGGAUGCACUUACACGUACAGUAACCACUGUUUUCCAGUGUUCAUAAAUCAAUGAUAUAUCACUAUUUUUCCUGCAUUUACAUUCAAUAACAUACCAUCUCCAGGAAAAGUUGUACUAGUUGAAGUAGCAGAGCUCUGGAGGAACCAAUGUCUCUUUAUGUAUUGGAUUUAUUGGAUAAUAAUUGAUUUGUGAGUCCAAAAGACACAUGCCCCACCUGUUAUUCAGGUGCCAAUCUUACAAAUGGAUCUUGUUUGUCUAGGUUGAGAGCUACACACAGGCUGAGCAGUUGAAUACACAUGGAUCAGACUGAAAGGUCUAGGCAAGAACGACAUUUUCUAUCAUUUUCUACUUUCAAACUUAGAGCAAAAGUCUAAACUGGAUCUACUUUAAAUCUCAAUAUGUCUGUUGAGUUCCCCAUUUCUGCAACAAUACAAUGGUCACAGGAUACAUUUAAGCAUUCAGUAAACACAACUGAAAAAAACCAAACACAAAUAAUCAGUAAAUGCCAGACUAACAUUUACUGUAUCCACUGACUUUUCCUAUUCAUGCUUUGAGUCAAUUUUAAUUCUUGAAGUGCUGUUGAAGAGAAAUCAAAACCAGAAAUAGGAAGGCAUAGACAUAACCUGAAUUUUUCAAUACAGCACCAUUAAACAAAAGGGAAACAAAAGCUGUCAUUCAAGGACUCUUCUGUUUGUUAAAGCAUACUACAUCUUUGAAAAUACAGUACAUUUUAGUGUCAGACUCUUAGUUUGAAAAGCUCCCUUUAAGUAAUGUUAUACUUGUCUUGUACAGCUAGAUCAAGUCUUCAUGCAAUCACUGUAACAAGCAACUUGCUAUGACAAGUGAGAUCCUUGCUUCCACAAAACAGUGUGAUAGAGGCUAAAGCAGUGUACAAUUAUAGGUCUCCAUUUCAUUUUAAUGCAAUUACCUUCAGUUCAGCUGUGGGUCUAUCUACAUUACGCUUUUUAUCAAUUUAAUGUUUGCACAAAGUGUCUAAAGAAAUAUAAUAAAGAUUAUGCUAGACCAGCAUUAAAAAAAAAAGGUGGUUAGCACUUUUUUCCUUUAUAGUUUGUUGCUGCAUGGAACAGUAGCAGGGUGAGAGUUUGGAAUAAAUAAGUGGACCCAAAUAGGCUUUAAAAAUAUGUUAUGCACAAAUGAUAUUAUUUAUUAUUAGUGUUAAAUGAGAAUGUAAAAAUAAAAUACAAUUAGAGAAGGGCAGGAGUGUCAACUUUGUUAGUCUUUUAAGAGCCUGUGUUCAGCUUUAGAUAUUCACAAAUGUCUAUGUUUUUAAUAUGUAGAAAUCAUCCACUGAAGUAAAUUAAAAGGGAAAAUAGUAAGUGUAUCAUGAUGAAGGAAGCUCAGAUUACCCAGUGUUAGACUGUUAGGCAAAGGUAAACUCCCACAGUGUGCCAUUUUUAAACAGUACCAUGAAGAAGCAACUUUCUUCCCCAUAUGGGCAAGCUGGGGCUUGCCUUGGCUGUUGCAGUGGAAGACUGGGAUCAUUCACCUAUGUUUGUAUUAAAGAUAGAGGUAGUCUCAAUAAUGACACAAAAUUCCUAGUUUUUUUAAAGUUAGGUGAUUCAGGCAGCUGACUAUAGUGUAUAAUGCAAGAAAGCACAAAGUAAAUCAUUUACUUUCCACUGAUGCCAGCCCCAGAUCCCUCUGGAUAAUAGUGAGGAGCAGCAAUACCGAGACCGACAUUUACAGUAGGUUCCCUGACCUCUUUUUCUCUUCAUUGGCUUAGGCACAAACCAGGGUCUUGCAGCCUUGGAGAAUGGGAAGUUGAAGUUUCCUAUCAUGCUUUUAUAUAGCUUUUAUAUAAUGACAUAUAAGGACCCUAAGUCUGCUUUUGGCAAGGGACAGGGGAGACAAGAGGUACUCUGUUCUGCUGUAUGGGGGCUGCAGCAAAAUGGGUAAUGACAAAGAGCUCUUUGGAGCAACUGGUUAGGGGGAGUUGCCACUGAAAGAGAAGGAGAACUGAUCUAUCACCCUAUGUAGGGCUCAUACGCAUCUUAUAAGCAAAGGACAAGGGAGCCUGUGGCUCUACUCACUGGUGGCAUUUGCUCCCAAUCCAUUCCGGCAGUGGCCCUUUGCCUCAGACCCCUGCGGCAAAGAGUCCAUAGGGUUAAUGGUGAACUGUGUGGAAACCUCUAGCAGUUUAGGAUGUGUAACUUUUUAAUUUCACCGUGAGGCAUCUUUGCGUAUCAGUGCAGUGAGACAACCAAAGGAACUCCUGGCUGAUCGUCCUGCCAUUCAUUAUCCCAUGCAAUGCUGUCACUCCCUGUCUAUUUAAUAUAUCACGUACUCAUCACUGAAAGGGCUGUGUGCCACGUCCAUUCAGUCCUGAGAUGAAGCAGGCAGAGCUACAUCAGAACUGAUGGAUGAUAACUUCUAAGUAUAAAGCCUUGAAAUGAACUCGCUUGGUUUGAAAAGAUUCAUGCUAUACCCAAACCCCAGGUUUUGAUGGCCAUGUUUCAAAAAUGAAAAAGAAAAAAGAAAAAGUAAAAAGUAAAAAGAAAAACAGAAUGCUAUCUCUUGCCAGUCUAAAGGACAUAAUUCAUUUGCUAUCAGCAAUGGGAGGGGAUGCUAGGGCUAUCUCUGCAUGGUGUGACACAUGUAUGGGGCCAGCAGCUUACCUGAAUGUUCCUCACUGCUCAGCGUCACCUUGGGAAGCGCCGGGAGGUGCAGGGAGCUGGUGCAGCUGUCUUGGUGGAAAAAACGAGACAACAUUGCAGAGGGACACUAUAAAUAAAUGCGGCUUGGCACAUGUAUAUCCCCCAACCACCUGGUGACAGUCAUUGUCUUCAGGAGUUGUUGCUUUGGGGGCAAAUAGAAACAAGCGUGAUACCUUGCAAGGGGAGCUUACAUGGGAUGUUGCACAGUUUCUGUUACUCCCUGCCUCAUUUGUGGAAAGGAAACCACAAGAAAAAUUCGCUAAGAGAGAAAGUUUCUUCUGGGAAGAGGAUCACUGGCAAACAUUGAUGUUCCUGUCUCAGGUAGGUGCAGAAAACUUGGGGGCAGGGAGGUCUGUGAUGAAAUGCGGGGCAUCAUCCAUGUCCAAACACCCCAGAAACCUUAGAUGAGGUUCCCAAACCAUUAGCAAAGGAGGAGAGAGGGAAUCGCACCCCCAAACUCCAACUUCUAUGGUUUAGUCUUCAUUACGGACAAGAUGCCCAAGGUACUUGCGGUGGCAAGCCCAGGUCCCCAUGUGGGUGCUGAGCUGCCAUCCAUUCCCUGCAGAGGACUUGGAGGCUUAAAUCUCCCUUCUCUCUCCUAGCGCCAGGGAGGAAAAGUAGGAGGUGGGAGUGUGGGACUGUCCCUACAGUGAGUGCAGCAGAAGAAAAAAACUCCAGAGGAACUGCUCUCAUCCAGGUAGGAGAGGCCAGAGGGAGAAUGGGUGUCACGGUCAACUGAAAGCAACCUACUUGAGACUCAUAUAUCAUGGGUGUUUUCAUAGUUUUGUGCCCAUUACAUUUUGCUGAGCUCAGGUGUAAGGAUACGGGGGAUUUAGAGACUGUUUAUUUUUGUCAUAUGGAAACAGGAAAUAGUACACAAGGCCAUAAAUAUAUUUUGGUUUUCAUAUGACAUCAUAAACCUGUGCAAGUGCUUCUCUUCUGAUUUAUGAUGAUGGACUGGUAAUUCACAGGAGCUUUGGGUUUACUUUUUUUUUUGCUGUUGCAGUAACAAAGUUAAUGGUGCGAUCCCUGGAGGGGGUAUUUUAUCAAUAGUGAAUUUUUGACCUCAUUGCACACAUUUUAACUUCAUGAAUUAGUGACCCAGCUGACUGUAAAGCCUUCUAUAGGCUUAUUAUAAAUCUAUCACAGGACUGGCAAAAAAAUUUGGCCCGGAUCCUAAACUCUGACAGGCAUGUGUUGAUGGACUGCAUAGCAAGCACUUCCACUAAUAUUUCUCACUAAUUAUACCAUAUAUUUUUAAAAAAAUGAAUGAAGCCAAUGUUUAUAUGCAGCUUUAACUGCUUUUGAUAUAAGAAAGCAACACAAUCCCUAAUAAAUUUUCACCUUCAACAUUUCUAUUCAUUAUAAUUUUUACCAUGAUGAAUGAAGUUAGAACUGAAAGGGGGGGUUCAUCUUGAAAUCUGUUCAGUGAAUGACUGAAUUUUCUUCCCUUGCCCAACUUGCGUUGAGGAAGGAGGGAACAGAUGGACACAGGAAGAAGAGGGAGGCGAGUGCGGAAUGAAGGAGAUGGGUGAGGAACAGAUGGAGUUGGGGGAAAGCGAACAGGAUAAUCAGCAAGGAUGGUAGGAAAGCUUUGCACUUGACCUUGAGUUGAAAUGAAAAUCUGCAUAGACCAUGGGACAUCUAGAUUUUGCUUUGUGAUGCAUCCUUUUUUCUCUCUGUGGCACCUAUGCCUUAAGUCUUGUGGGCCAUCCCAGUAGUCCAUUCCAUCCCAGGGUGUCUGCAGAACCAGAAACUAGAUUUUUUUUUUUGAGUGGCCAGCUGCUGCAAGAGGGCAUCUGCACUGUCUUCAAGCCCCAUAGGUAAUCACAGGGGAGAAAUGAAUGCAAAGAUCGUGCUAAAAUGGGUUGGGAUGUGGCAAGUCUCCCAGGCAUUCAGCCAACCCAGAAACUGGAGCUUAUGAUUUCAAAGAGGUGUCCUACACCCUGUUUGUUAGGAUCCAAUGGCCAAAAUAAUCAAAGUGAUUUAUGGUUUUACCUGCUUAAAGUAAGACAUUUGAGAUGGCCUGGUUUUCAGAAUAUGCUGAGCAUCUGCACUUUGAGGUGUAUUGAAUUAUAUAGCCCAAAUCACUGGCAAGUCCUGGAAAAUCUUGAUUAUAUUCUUAAUUCUAUUAAAUCGCCUGCAUGUAGUCCAUUGGUUCUGGGUUUGCUAGCUGAAGAAUGGAAGAGGUGAAAGUUAAAUAUUGGCCAUGUGUGUCAUUCCCUUUGAAGAAAAUGGGAGCCAUGUGCACUCACCUAACAACGAAGUUUGGCCCCAACUAUGAUUUCACAGCUGGGCCUUGACUUCAGGAAUGCCAAAGCACUAAAUGACUCAAUUGGAGUAACUUGAUCAAUGCUGUAUUUUCACUGUGGAUUUAAAUUGCACACACAGCAAGAGCAGAGUUAGUUUUCUUCUCCCUCAAAAUCACUUUUCUCUGCAGAUUUGAUAGCAUAAAUAUGAAGUUUUGCUCUCAUCACACAAAUAAGUGAAAUGGCAGAAAACGUAUGUCAAAUAAAAUGCACAACAUUAAGUCCUUUUUACUUUUUGGAGGCUGUUUAAGAAAAUGGCUUCAUUAAUUUUGACUGAAUAAAAGGUUUCUUUAAGGGAUUUCAAUAGAUGACAUGAAAAAUGUUAAUAUGAAUGAUCAAGACAAUGGAGGUUAAAACUGUUUUGAAAAUAUGUUUCUUUUAUGGAUCUCAGCUGUUGGAAGAGUUACAGAAUAAAUAUAAGGUAGUGCUGACAUUCAGUGCUGUUUCAUCUUAGCAAAAGAGUUUUUAAUAAAGAAAAUUCUUUUCAAGGAAUGCUUUCUGCAGCCAGUCUUCAAAAAGAGGUUUUCCCCCCUCCUAGUUUAAUAAAAUUAAAGUAAUUUAUGUCAUAUUGAUAUGUCGAUAUGUUUUUCAAUAAACUUUUUCGCAGAG